CCUACGGGAGGCAGCAGUGAGGAAUAUUGGUCAAUGGACGAGAGUCUGAACCAGCCAAGUAGCGUGAAGGAUGACUGACCUAUGGGUUGUAAACUUCUUUUAUAUGGGAAUAAAAUGUUCCACGUGUGGGAUUUUGUAUGUACCAUAUGAAUAAGGAUAGGCUAACUCCGUGCCAGCAGCCGCGGUAAUACGGAGGAUGCGAGCGUUAUCCGGAUUUAUUGGGUUUAAAGGGAGCGUAGGUGGAUUGUUAAGUCAGUUGUGAAAGUUUGCGGCUCAACCGUAAAAUUGCAGUUGAAACUGGCAGUCUUGAGUACAGUAGAGGUGGGCGGAAUGCGUGGUGUAGCGGUGAAAUGCUUAGAUAUCACGAAGAACUCCGAUUGCGAAGGCAGUUCACUGGACUGCAACUGACACUGAGGCUCGAAAGUGUGGGUAUCAAACAGGAUUAGAUACCCCUGUAGUC
rnacentral:rRNA from 1 species